AGACACCAUAGUACUGAAACUUCUUUUAAUGGGCCAAACUCCAAUUUGGGUUGCUUUCACACUGUCCAGUGUGGCAAACUGAGGUCAGGAAUCAGAUCUCACCAUACCUGUACCUUCAGGACCCAGCCUCAGCCCAUUAAGGAGAGAAAGGUGUCAUCCCAUAGAGAAGGGUUAUUGCUGGGGCUCGUUGCCUGCACUAUGUAUCCACAGCUCCUGGAGGCCAUUUUUUCCCCUUUUGUUGCCCUUGUUCUUUAUUGUUGUUGUUGUUAUUAUUGUUGUUGUUAUUGCUGUCAUUAUUGUUGGAUAGGACAGAGAGAAAUGGAGAGGAGAGGGGAAGACAAAGAGGGGGAGAGAAAGACACCUGCAGUCCUGCUUCACUGCUUGUGAAGUGACCCCCCUGCAGGUGGGGAGCUGGGGGUUCGAACCGGGAACCUUGCGCUUUGCACCCUGAGUGCUUAACCUGCUGUUCUACUGCCCGGCUCCCUAUAUUUAAAUUUUUAUAAAUGCUGCAAAGGUGACAUUAAACUGGUCGACAAACCCACUACUAUUACAGUACAUUAGACCUGAAAUACCAGUAAAGGGUAGCCCCUCAUUUAUUGACAAAUUCAUGUAAUGAUUGGGUUUCAGGAAUGGAACCUGGUAAAUAAAUGAGAACUACUUGUAAAUGGAUAUUAAGGUUCCAGUUAAGUAAGAUGGAUGAGCUAUAGAGAUCUGCUAAACAAUAGUGUGCCUAUAAUUAACAAUGUUGUACUGCAUACUUAAUUUUUUUUUAAAUUUUUUUUAUUAUUAUUUAUUUUCCCUUUUGUUGCCCUUGUUGUGGUAGUUAUUAUUAUUGUUGUUGAUGUCAUUGUUGUUGGAUAGGACAGAGAGAAAUGGAGAGAGGAGGGGAAGACAGAGGAGGGAGAGAAAGAGAGACACCUGCAGACCUGCUUCACCACUCGUGAAGCGACCCCCCUACAGGUGGGGAGCCAGGGCUCGAACCUGGAUCCUUACACUGGUCCUUGUGCUUCAUGCCACCUGCGCUUAACCUGCUGUGCUACUGCCCGACUCCCA